rnacentral:rRNA from 1 species
CCUACGGGAGGCUGCAGUGGGGAAUAUUGGACAAUGGGGGGAACCCUGAUCCAGCGACGCCGCGUGAGUGAAGAAGUAUUUCGGUAUGUAAAGCUCUAUCAGCAGGGAAGAAAAUGCCGGUACCUGACUCAGAAGCCCCGGCUAACUACGUGCCAGCAGCCGCGGUAAUACGUAGGGGGCAAGCGUUAUCCGGAUUUACUGGGUGUAAAGGGAGCGUAGACGGUGCAGCAAGUCUGAUGUGAAAGGUCGGGGCCCAACCCCGGGACUGCAGUGGAAACUGUUGAACUGGAGUACAGGAGAGGUAAGCGGAAUGCCUGGUGUAGCGGUGAAAUGCGUAGAUAUUAGGAGGAACACCAGUGGCGAAGGCGGCUUACUGGA